GUAUCCUGGCUCAGGAUGAACGCUAGCUACAGGCUUAACACAUGCAAGUCGAGGGGAAACGGACAUCGAAAGCUUGCUUUUGAUGGGCGUCGACCGGCGCACGGGUGAGUAACGCGUAUCCAACCUGCCUACCACCUUGGGGAUAACCUUGCGAAAGUAAGACUAAUACCCAAUGACAUCCCACGAAGACAUCUGAAUGGGAUUAAAGAUUUAUCGGUGAUGGAUGGGGAUGCGUCUGAUUAG
rnacentral:rRNA from 1 species